UAACUUCGUGCCAGCAGCCGCGGUAAUACGAAGGGACCUAGCGUAAUUCGGAAUUACUGGGCGUAAAGCGCGCGUAGGCGGUUAAGUAAGUUAAUUGUGAAAGCCCAAAGCUCAACUUUGGAAUUGCAAUUAAAACUACUUAGCUAGAGUUUAUCAGAGGAAAGCGGAAUACAUAGUGUAGAGGUGAAAUUCGUAGAUAUUAUGUAGAACACCAGUUGCGAAGGCGGCUUUCUGGGAUAACACUGACGCUGAGGUGCGAAAGUAUGGGUAGCGAAGAGGAUUAGAUACCCUCGUAGUCCAUACUGUAAACGAUGAUUGUUAGAUGUUGGAAAUUUAUUUUCAGUAUCACAGCUAACGCGUUAAACAAUCCGCCUGGGGAGUACGACCGCAAGGUUAAAACUCAAAUGAAUUGACGGGGACCCGCACAAGCGGUGGAGCAUGUGGUUUAAUUCGAAGCUACGCGCAGAACCUUACCAACACUUGACAUGUCUGUCGCGGAUUCCAGAGAUGGAUUCCUUCGGUUCGGCCGGACAGAACACAGGUGCUGCAUGGCUGUCGUCAGCUCGUGUCGUGAGAUGUUGGGUUAAGUCCCGCAACGAGCGCAACCCCUACUUCUAGUUGCCAUCAGGUUAAGCUGGGCACUCUAGUAGGACUGCCUGUGAUAAGCAGGAGGAAGGUUGGGAUGACGUCAAGUCCUCAUGGCCCUUACGUGUUGGGCUACACACGUGCUACAAUGGCAGUGACAAUGAGAUGCUAAACGGCGACGUUAAGCUAAACUCAAAAACCUGCCUCAGUUCGGAUUGCACUCUGCAACUCGAGUGCAUGAAGCUGGAAUCGCUAGUAAUCGCUCAUCAGCGCGGAGCGGUGAAUACGUUCCCGGGUCUUGUACACACCGCCCGUCACACCAUGGAAGUUGGUUUUACCUUAAGGCAUGUCACUAACCUUCGGGAAGUGCGUGACCACGGUAUGAUCGGCGACUGGGGUGAAGUCGUAACAAGGUAGCCGUAGGGGAACCUGCGGCUG
rnacentral:rRNA from 1 species